UUUCAAUCCUGUGUGUAUAGGCAAUGCAUGUGACAAGAAACUGGUGAAGAAGCUGCAUGGUUCAGAUUGUAGCAAUGCUUCUUCAUCACUCAAUUGCUGUAAAGCUUCUGUUUACUGGCUCAAAGUACACAUCCCCAACUCAAAGCCCGAUCGGCAAUCGAAAGACGACUUCCCUUGAUGGAACGGCGAAUGACUAAACCUAUCAGAUGUAUGCGAUCACAACUCUUCUUUCAAAAGCUCUCGACCACAGUGGAAAGUCGGAAACCUCCAUCACUAUCCAAGACAUUAACAGGUAUGAAAAUGAAGUCUGAUAUAAAGAGUAAACAUCAUUUAUUGACUAUGUCAGGAUUCUCCCAGAUUUGACACUCCAGCCUGGUUGAUUGGCUUUAGUCCGAAAUGAACAUUUGC